rnacentral:tRNA from 1 species
UCCCUGGUAGCUCAGCUGGUAGUGAAUCUGCCUGCAAUGCAGGAGACCCUGGUUCGAUUCCUGGGUGGGGAA